CUGACGAGCGGCGGACGGGUGAGUAAUGCUUAGGAAUCUGCCCAGUAGCGGGGGAUAGCCCGGGGAAACCCGGAUUAAUACCGCAUACGCCCUUCGGGGGAAAGCAGGGGAUCUUCGGACCUUGCGCUAUUGGAUGAGCCUAAGUCGGAUUAGCUAGUUGGUGGGGUAAAGGCCUACCAAGGCGACGAUCCGUAGCUGGUCUGAGAGGAUGAUCAGCCACAUCGGGACUGAGACACGGCCCGAACUCCUACGGGAGGCAGCAGUGGGGAAUAUUGGACAAUGGGGGCAACCCUGAUCCAGCCAUGCCGCGUGUGUGAAGAAGGCUUUCGGGUUGUAAAGCACUUUCAGUGAGGAGGAAGGCCUAAAGGUUAAUACCCUUUAGGAUUGACGUUACUCACAGAAGAAGCACCGGCUAACUCCGUGCCAGCAGCCGCGGUAAUACGGAGGGUGCAAGCGUUAAUCGGAAUUACUGGGCGUAAAGCGCGCGUAGGUGGUUUGAUAAGCGAGAUGUGAAAGCCCCGGGCUUAACCUGGGAACGGCAUUUCGAACUGUCAGGCUAGAGUGUGGUAGAGGGUAGUG
rnacentral:rRNA from 1 species